rnacentral:lncRNA from 1 species
UUGAUUGAUUAGAAGAAAAGCAGAACACCAAUUUUGUCAAAUAUUCACCAGAUAAUAUAACAGUAGAAAAAAAGACCACCAUUAUCAAAAAUCCUAAAACAUCAAUUUCCAACAGUACUCGCUUUCGUGGACAACUGUUUUUGUUCUUUUCUUUUUUUGGCUGUCCCGAAUCUCCGAUUGUGGCCAAUCGAGCGUUGGUGGAAGGUCGCUGUGGGAUUGGCGGCGGUGCUGUGGUCAUAUGGUGGUGGAGAUGAAAGUAAGGAGGAGGUGUGACUAGAGAUUCAGUGAGAAUUAAAAGCAGAGAAAGAAGCCAGUCAAGUUUUGCUGACCUGAGGAAAAACAAUAUGACGAAAUUGAAAUUUCAUAUAAGACAAUUACAAACUAAUUGAUGCUGAUAUAUGUUGUAAAUAAUUAUAUGUUCAUA